AGAUUGUGCCAAUGCACUCCAGCCUGGGCAACAGAGCAAGACUUCAUCUCAAAAAAAAAAAAAGAAAUGAUUUACCCAUAGCCUGGCUGCUUGUGGAUCCCAGCUGCACCCCGUUCUAGCAUCAUCGUUCAUCAUGUUGGUGAAGGAAGAAUCUCCCACCCUAAAUAGCACAAGGUAGCUGUCUACAUGACACCUUGCACAGGACAGAUGUCAUCAACAGCAGUUUAUGAGUUACACGUACUCACGGCCUGGGGAAGAGGACACCACACACCAGGCAGGGACACACAAGGGGUGCACUCAGGAAUAGAGUGAAGCGGAGGGACACAGAGGCAGGCUUUAUAGGAACAAGGAGGUGUGGUGGCCUCUGGUGACUGUGGGAGGAUAUGUGGUUGGCUUGUUUGCGUUAUGGGCUGGCAGGGGCUGGAGACACAUGAGGUUGAGGAUUGAUGGGGGACACUGGUUCAGCCGACAGUGGAACAAGCCAGGCAGGAGCAGGGGCACUCACGGGGCCCCUUUGGGGCCUAGAAGCCUGAAGCACACUUGAAAAUUGUUCUUCUUCCCAUUUGAGUCUGCAUAUGAGGAUGUUUUCAGUAUUCACAUCCACUCUAAUUAAAGGAAAGUUUACCAUUCCAAUAAAUGCACUCCACAGGUGAGUUCUGGGGAGGAGACCCCUAAAAUGCAAUGAGCGUUGUAUUGUCUCUUCAGGAAACUAUAGUCAAAAAGCCACAAAAUCAAAAGGAAUCUUUCUACCACAUCACCUUAUAACCAGGAAGGAGAUUUGGGGUCAUGACCAUUUAGAAGGAAGAUGAAGAUACAUGCAGUAGAAAUAGUAUAAAAUAAUUCACUAAAAUGCCCUUUUACACAUUCAUUUAUCAAGUUCAAAGUUACAUUAUAGAUCGGGGUUGGCGAGUUUUCUUUUUUGUUUUUUAAUCAAGAGCUAGAUAGUAAAUAUUUUAGGCUUUGUGGGCCAUAUGGUCUCUGAUGACUCAGUUUUGCUGCUGCUGUGCAAAAGCAGCCAUGGACAAUAAUAAAUGGGCAUGGUUGUGCUUUAACAAGACUGGCUAUGAGAGCUGGUGGCCGGCUGCACUGGGCCCACUGGUGUAGUUUAUCAACCCAUUAUAAAGUAUCUGUUCUCAAAACACAUAUUUCAUAAGUCUGUAUGUUACCUUAUUUUUUAACCUUCCUUUGAAAUGAUCAGGUUGUGAGAUAUCUGGACAAUAUUCCCUCAUUUUACAGUCGAGAAACCUGAGGUACAGUACCUCUUCUGGGAAACCCUGGAAUGAGUAGCAAGCCAAGCGUAGAAAACAGACUUCCCGACUCCUCCCACACCCUGCCUGUCGCUCAACCCAGCUGAUACACUAGACUCCACCCAGCAACACCAACUUUCUGUGAGAAUAGUCAGUUUUGAAUUUCAGUAGGAAAAAAAAAAGAAAAGAAAAUUAGAUAACUACUUUGUAUCAAGCUGGAUUUUAUUCAUUGUUAACAUUUACCUUUUCUGUGUAUUUACUUGUGUCUGUGAAUUCUGUUCCAGUGGAAAGGACCUACAUUAAGGCUUGACCUGGUGUUUUGGAUAUUGACCUAAAGGGAUUUGGAUUUGGUUGGGAGAUCAGUUUCUCCACUAAAUAUGAUCAACAAUUAAGGGGUAACCUUUUCUCUUCCUGAAAUUUUUAAAAACCAUUUCCUCCCUGAAUUCUUUCUUCUGUUUUCACGUUUCAUUCACCAUGUGAAAGGCUGUGGCCCUGGUGUUCGAGGAGCCCCUUGUCUGAAGCAGCUGCUGCUCAUGAACAGGCAGAUUCUCUGCACAGCAGCCCUCAUUUCUAGAGGGAAGCCUUGUCAUUGUUGUGAAGGAAAAUGUUUAAUGCUCCAACCAGAGGCAACUUAGGCUUUUCCAGAGUUGGCCUUUCUGAGAUACUGUAAUUAAAUUGCAGAGGGGAUGUGGAAAAGGAAAGUGCUAUAAAUUGAAUGACACAGUUACAGAAGACUUAGACCUAAAUGACGAGCCCUGGAGUGUGAAUGCUUUGGCGAAGAAAAUAGAGCAAAAGUUUAUGAUCGAGGCUUCUUAAUGCCAUGCUGUAAAGCAAACACACACACUUGUGUAUGGCAAAGAUACCGAAUGCCCGCAUUCACUUCCACCAGAGGGGGUCUGAUCAGAACUCCCUGUGAUCGCCAGAGAAGACUCUGUCCAGCAGGAAGCUGAGGGGGCCUCUGUCUGUAAGUUUUUACAUUGUGAACCCAAAAUAUCUGAGACAACUCUCGAUAAAUUUGGAAAGUUUAUGUUCCCAAGGCUACGGCCGUGACACACCCUCAGGAAGUUUUGAGAACAUGUGCCUAAGUUUGGGAUACAGCCUGCCCUUUUUUUUUUUUUUCU